GAGGGUAUAGCUCAGUGGUAGAGUGAGUGCUUAGCAUGGAUGAGGUGGUCCUGGGUUCAGUCCCCAGUACCUCCA
rnacentral:tRNA from 1 species